ACCAGCUAUAAAGAGAGCCAUAGCAGCAGUGUUCACGUUAUGGCCUCUGUCAGAUUCUUUGUAUCUCUGAAUCCUGCC
ensembl:ribozyme